AUUGAACGCUGGCGGCAGGCUUAACACAUGCAAGUCGAGCGGGGGAAGGUAGCUUGCUACCGGACCUAGCGGCGGACGGGUGAGUAAUGCUUAGGAAUCUGCCUAUUAGUGGGGGACAACAUCUCGAAAGGGAUGCUAAUACCGCAUACGUCCUACGGGAGAAAGCAGGGGAUCUUCGGACCUUGCGCUAAUAGAUGAGCCUAAGUCGGAUUAGCUAGUUGGUGGGGUAAAGGCCUACCAAGGCGACGAUCUGUAGCGGGUCUGAGAGGAUGAUCCGCCACACGGGGACUGGGACACGGCCCAGACUCCUACGGGAGGCAGCAGUGGGGAAUAUUGGACAAUGGGGGGAACCCUGAGCCAGCCAUGCCGCGUGUGUGAAGAAGGCCUUAUGGUUGUAAAGCACUUUAAGCGAGGAGGAGGCUACUUUAGUUAAUACCUAGAGAUAGUGGACGUUACUCGCAGAAUAAGCACCGGCUAACUCUGUGCCAGCAGCCGCCGUAA
rnacentral:rRNA from 1 species